rnacentral:siRNA from 1 species
CGGCAUCAGCGUGCUCCGG